rnacentral:rRNA from 1 species
ACGCUGGCGGCGUGCUUAACACAUGCAAGUCGAACGGGGAUUAUUUUGACAGAGACUUCGGUUGAAGUCGUUAUAAUCCUAGUGGCGGACGGGUGAGUAACGCGUGGGUAACCUGCCUCACACUGGGGGAUAACAGUCAGAAAUGACUGCUAAUACCGCAUAAGCGCACGGAGCCGCAUGGCUCAGUGUGAAAAACUCCGGUGGUGUGAGAUGGACCCGCGUUGGAUUAGCCAGUUGGCAGGGUAACGGCCUACCAAAGCGACGAUCCAUAGCCGGCCUGAGAGGGUGGACGGCCACAUUGGGACUGAGACACGGCCCAGACUCCUACGGGAGGCAGCAGUGGGGAAUAUUGCACAAUGGGGGAAACCCUGAUGCAGCGACGCCGCGUGAAGGAAGAAGUAUCUCGGUAUGUAAACUUCUAUCAGCAGGGAAGAAAAUGACGGUACCUGACUAAGAAGCCCCGGCUAACUACGUGCCAGCAGCCGCGGUAAUACGUAGGGGGCAAGCGUUAUCCGGAUUUACUGGGUGUAAAGGGAGCGUAGACGGAGCAGCAAGUCUGAUGUGAAAGGCGGGGGCUCAACCCCCGGACUGCAUUGGAAACUGUUGAUCUUGAGUACCGGAGAGGUAAGCGGAAUUCCUAGUGUAGCGGUGAAAUGCGUAGAUAUUAGGAGGAACACCAGUGGCGAAGGCGGCUUACUGGA